rnacentral:rRNA from 1 species
UACGAAGGGGGCUAGCGUUGCUCGGAAUCACUGGGCGUAAAGGGUGCGUAGGCGGGUCUUUAGGUCAGGGGUGAAAUCCUGGAGCUCAACUCCAGAACUGCCUUUGAUACUGAGGAUCUUGAGUUCGGGAGAGGUGAGUGGAACUGCGAGUGUAGAGGUGAAAUUCGUAGAUAUUCGCAAGAACACCAGUGGCGAAGGCGGCUCACUGGCCCGAUACUGACGCUGAGGCACGAAAGCGUGGGGAGCAAACAGGG